rnacentral:tRNA from 1 species
GCCUUAUAUUCAAAUAUAAUGAUAUAAAAUUGCAAAUUUUAAGGUAUAAUUUCAUAUUAUUAAGGCUU